rnacentral:tRNA from 2 species
CAGAGAAUAGUUUAAGAUAAAAUGCUGGUUUUGGGGACCAGUGAUGGUUAUCCUUCUUUGA